rnacentral:rRNA from 1 species
GUACACGCUGUGACUAGCAUAUCAAUAAGCGGAGGAAAAGAAACUAACAAGGAUUCCCCUAGUAACGGCGAGUGAAGCGGGAAGAGCUCAAACUUGAAAUCUUAAAGGGUUUCCCUUUACGAAUUGUAGUUUAAAGAAGUGUUUUCUGUUGAGGUUUUGGUAAAAGUUCUUUGGAAUAGGACAUCAUAGAGGGUGAGAAUCCCGUAUUUGACCUUUACUUUCAACUUUGUGAUACACUUUCAAAGAGUCGGAUUGUUUGGGAAUGCAGUCCAAAAUGGGUGGUAAAUUUCAUCUAAAGCUAAAUAUUGGCGAGAGACCGAUAGCGAACAAGUACCGUGAGGGAAAGAUGAAAAGAACUUUGAAAAGAGAGUUAAACAGUACGUGAAAUUGUCAAAAGGGAAGCGUUUGACACCAGUGUUGUUUUUCUGAAAAUCAAUUAAAGAACUGUUUAUGCUAAGCUGUUUAGACUUUAUCAGCUAAUCUGUUUAGUUUUGAGCUUUUCUUUAAUGCACUUUUCAGUUAACAAGUCAACAUCAAUUUCUUUUGCUGUAAAAAAGCUUGAGGAAGGUGGCUUGAGAUUCGUCUUAAGUGUUUAUAGCCUCUUGCCUAUGCAGUCGGAGAGAUUGAGGUCUGCAGCGUAGAUCCUUCGGGGCUAAAUGCAUUUGUGCUAAGUUAUAGCAUUUUAUAGACAACUUGUUGACUAUGAUUUGUCUUGUAGCUUACUCGCUUAUGUUAUUUUACCUACGCUUAGGAUGUUGAGUCGUAGAGCACGCAG